UCUCCUGGAAACGGGUGGUAAUGCCGGAUGCUCCGACUCCUCGCAUGGGGUGUCGGGAAAGAUUUCAUCGGUAUGGGAUGGGGUCGCGUCCUAUCAGGUAGUCGGCGGGGUAACGGCCCACCGAGCCUACGACGGGUAGCCGGCCUGAGAGGGCGACCGGCCACAUUGGGACUGAGAUACGGCCCAGACUCCUACGGGAGGCAGCAGUGGGGAAUAUUGCACAAUGGGCGCAAGCCUGAUGCAGCGACGCCGCGUGCGGGAUGACGGCCUUCGGGUUGUAAACCGCUUUUGAUCGGGAGCAAGCCUUCGGGUGAGUGUACCUUUCGAAUAAGCACCGGCUAACUACGUGCCAGCAGCCGCGGUAAUACGUAGGGUGCAAGCGUUAUCCGGAAUUAUUGGGCGUAAAGGGCUCGUAGGCGGUUCGUCGCGUCCGGUGUGAAAGUCCAUCGCUUAACGGUGGAUCUGCGCCGGGUACGGGCGGGCUGGAGUGCGGUAGGGGAGACUGGAAUUCCCGGUGUAACGGUGGAAUGUGUAGAUAUCGGAAA
rnacentral:rRNA from 1 species